GACGAAGGAUCCAAGCGUUAUCCGGAUUCAUUGGGUUUAAAGGGUGCGUAGGCGGGUUUGUAAGUCAGUGGUGAAAUCCUAUCGCUUAACGAUGGAACUGCCAUUGAUACUGCGGACCUAGAAUAUAGAUGAUGUUGGCGGAAUAUGACAUGUAGCAGUGAAAUGCGUAGAGAUGUGGAGGAACACCGAUGGCGAAGGCAGCCCCCUGGGUCAAAACUGACGCUCAUGCACGAAAGCGUGGGGAGCAAACAGG
rnacentral:rRNA from 1 species